AGGGUGGGAUAAUGGAGCAGAAGUGGACUGGUCCAUACAAGUGAGUACUGAUGUUAAAGGAAUUGUAUUUUUGUGUGUGCUCCAUUUUUGUCAUUUAGGUUUCUGUAACCUACUGACACUCAACAGAGUCCUUGACAUCGACUCCUCAAACCGUGUGGCACUUGAGGCUGUGAGCAAUGGGAAGAAGCUCAAGAGCCGUACUCCAUACAACAACCUGAGGCCAUUCCUCCAGAGCCAGUUGCACUGUGACAGACACUUAUUGGACCACAGAGAUGGACUGCAGCCCUCCAGCAUUCAGGGACCUGUGCAGCCAUCACCUGACACCUCACAGUUGCCUGCUGAACUGAAUAGCCUGGAGGGACAGCAGCACUGUGAAGCUCGCCUGGCUCCUUCCCUGCAACGAGAGGUUCCCCUGGCCCCUGCCCAUGGAAAUCCAAGUGAAGCGGCAAGGGAAGUAUCCAUUGAAGGGAAGUGGUUGACAGACCUCCACAUAGAUCAUGCACAGCAUUUGCUUGGAAUCAGUUUCCUCAAUGUUUCAGGUUUCCAGUCUACUGUUGUCUUUCAAACUGCAAAAUGUGUGCAUGUUAAAAGUCCCAGUAAUUGCUUUGUCCAAAUUUUACAUGUACACAACAAUCACUGGCUUACAGUAAGUAACCUUCAAUGUAAUGAUAACAUUGUCA